rnacentral:ncRNA from 2 species
UCCUCGCACUCUGGAGAGCGGCAGCGGCUUCGUCGAAAUGAUCGAGCCAGUUGCCCACCGAAGGGGCGCGCGACGGAUCAUCCGUGAUCCGCGCAAUCUCUCAGGUACCGAGGACAGAGGGGUCACG